rnacentral:rRNA from 1 species
AUUGAACGCUGGCGGCAGGCUUAACACAUGCAAGUCGAGCGGGGGAAGGUAGCUUGCUACCGGACCUAGCGGCGGACGGGUGAGUAAUGCUUAGGAAUCUGCCUAUUAGUGGGGGACAACAUCUCGAAAGGGAUGCUAAUACCGCAUACGUCCUACGGGAGAAAGCAGGGGAUCUUCGGACCUUGCGUUAAUAGAUGAGCCUAAGUCGGAUUAGCUAGUUGGUGGGGUAAAGGCCUACCAAGGCGACGAUCUGUAGCGGGUCUGAGAGGAUGAUCCGCCACACUGGGACUGAGACACGGCCCAGACUCCUACGGGAGGCAGCAGUGGGGAAUAUUGGACAAUGGGGGGAACCCUGAUCCAGCCAUGCCGCGUGUGUGAAGAAGGCCUCAUGGUUGUAAAGCACUUUAAGCGAGGAGGAGGCUACUCUAGUUAAUACCUAGGGAUAGUGGACGUUACUCGCAGAAUAAGCACCGGCUAACUCUGUGCCAGCAGCCGCGGUAA